UCCGAGUUGACCCCGGCAGUCUCCUAUGAGUCCCCGGCUUGAACCGCUGGCAACAUAGGACAAGGGUUGCGCUCGUUGCGGGACUUAACCCAACACCUCACGGCACGAGCUGACGACGGCCAUGCAGCACCUUGCUUUGUGCCCCGAAGGGAAGCCCCAUCUCUGGGGCGGUCACGCGCAUUCUAGCCUAGGUAAGGUUCCUCGCGUAUCAUCGAAUUAAACCACAUACUCCACCGCUUGUGCGGGCCCCCGUCAAUUCCUUUGAGUUUCAGUCUUGCGACCGUACUCCCCAGGCGGAAUGCUUAAAGCGUUAGCUGCGCCACUGACGAGCAAGCUCGCCAACGGCUGGCAUUCAUCGUUUACGGCGUGGACUAC
rnacentral:misc_RNA from 1 species